rnacentral:rRNA from 1 species
AUGAACGCUGGCGGCGUGCCUAAUACAUGCAAGUCGAGCGAACGGACGAGAAGCUUGCUUCUCUGAUGUUAGCGGCGGACGGGUGAGUAACACGUGGAUAACCUACCUAUAAGACUGGGAUAACUUCGGGAAACCGGAGCUAAUACCGGAUAAUAUUUUGAACCGCAUGGUUCAAAAGUGAAAGACGGUCUUGCUGUCACUUAUAGCUGGAUCCGCGCUGCAUUAGCUAGUUGGUAAGGUAACGGCUUACCAAGGCAACGAUGCAUAGCCGACCUGAGAGGGUGAUCGGCCAGACUGGAACUGAGACACGGUCCAGACUCCUACGGGAGGCAGCAGUAGGGAAUCUUCCGCAAUGGGCGAAAGCCUGACGGAGCAACGCCGCGUGAGUGAUGAAGGUCUUCGGAUCGUAAAACUCUGUUAGUAGGGAAGAACAUAUGUGUAAGUAACUGUGCACAUCUUGACGGUACCUAAUCAGAAAGCCACGGCUAACUACGUG